AACAGGGCCCCGGCCAGGGUGAAAACAAGGAACAUUCCAGAGAAGAUCACAAGGAUGCGAAUAAAAUCGGAGCUGCACAGGGAUCUUUGGGCUGUAAUAGGAGGGGACACACAGGGGUUAGGGGAGGGUCUAGCCCUUGGCUCCCUCAGCCCAGCCCUCCUGUCACCUUGCCUCUCCCCUUUCCCCCACCUUAUUCUAUCCCACCCGCCACCGUUGGCCAACUCCUCUCCUAAACAGUGGACUCUGCUUUUUCCCCUCCUCUUAUCCCUAAUCCUAGGAGCUUUCUGUCUGGCUUCCCUCCUGGCCCCUCGUGUAUGCAUUCUCUCUAGCGGUGGGGAUUAAGGAGAAAACUCACGUGGCCAGUGGGUAGAGAGAGUCCGGGCAGGCAGCUGCCUGAAGUCAGCCAGAGUCUGCAUGUGCCCAGCUGUCCUGGCCUCCAGCAUCUCUGGAAAAACAGAGACAGAAUGAGUAGCAGCAGGGGACCCCAUAGGGCACAUCUGAAGGCCUGAGAGGUGCUGGAUGGGAUGGGAAGGCAGAAACAGGCUGACCUUAUCUAGGGGUAGGAGUGGGGAGUACUGGUUGGGGUAUCACCGCUACCCCACGUGAUGGCACAGAGAGUUGCCUGGAACUUACCACUGACAUAAGGACAAGGAGAGGGACAAAUUCCUUCUUGGCAUCCUUAUGGCCCUGUGACCUGCUAAUGAAUGCUGACUCUGAGUUGCUACUAGAAUUUGGUUUCCUUGUGGCUUCCCAGGAAUUGGUCUCACUCUGCUCACUCUGUCUCCCAAGCUGGAGUGCAGUGGUACAGUCACGGCUCACUGCAGCCUCCACUUCCUGGACUCAAGUGAUCUUCUCACUUCAGCCUUCUGAGUAGCUGGGACUACAGGUUCGUGCCACCACG
rnacentral:lncRNA from 1 species